rnacentral:rRNA from 1 species
GCCUAAUACAUGCAAGUCGAACGGGAUUGAGAGCUUGCUUUCAUGAGAGUGGCGUACGGGUGCGUAACGCGUAUGCAACCUACCUUCAUCAGGGGGAUAGCCCGAAGAAAUUCGGAUUAACACCGCAUAAAAACACAGCUUGGCAUCAAGCAAUGUUCAAAUAUUUAUAGGAUGAAGAUGGGCAUGCGUGUCAUUAGCUAGUUGGUAAGGUAACGGCUUACCAAGGCUACGAUGACUAGGGGAUCUGAGAGGAUGACCCCCCACACUGGUACUGAGACACGGACCAGACUCCUACGGGAGGCAGCAGUAAGGAAUAUUGGUCAAUGGAGGCAACUCUGAACCAGCCAUGCCGCGUGCAGGAAGACUGCCUUAUGGGUUGUAAACUGCUUUUAUACGGGAAUAAACCUUAAUUCGUGAAUUAAGCUGAAUGUACCGUUAGAAUAAGGAUCGGCUAACUCCGUGCCAGCAGCCGCGGUAAUACGGAGGAUCCAAGCGUUAUCCGGAUUUAUUGGGUUUAAAGGGAGCGUAGGCGGCUUGUUAAGUCAGGGGUGAAAGACGGUGGCUCAACCAUCGCAGUGCCUUUGAUACUGACGAGCUUGAAUAUAGUUGAGGUAGGCGGAAUGUGGCAAGUAGCGGUGAAAUGCAUAGAUAUGUCACAGAACACCGAUUGCGAAGGCAGCUUACUAAGCUAUUAUUGACGCUGAGGCUCGAAAGCGUGGGGAUCAAACAGGAUUAGAUACCCUGGUAGUCCACGCCCUAAACGAUGAUAACUCGAUGUUGGCGAUAUACAGUCAGCGUCCAAGCGAAAGCGUUAAGUUAUCCACCUGGGGAGUACGCCCGCAAGGGUGAAACUCAAAGGAAUUGACGGGGGCCCGCACAAGCGGAGGA